AGAGUUUGAUCAUGGCUCAGAAUCAACGCUGGCGGCGCGCCUAACACAUGCAAGUCGCACGAGAAAGCGGGGGCAAUCUCGCAAGUAAAGUGGCGUACGGGUGAGUAACACGUGGAUCAUCUGCCCUGGAGUGGGGAAUAACGCUGGGAAACCGGCGCUAAUACCGCAUAUACCCGAGAGGGGAAAGCAGCAAUGCGCUCGAGGAGGAGUCCGCGGCCGAUUAGCUAGUUGGCAGGGUAAAAGCCUACCAAGGCUGUGAUCGGUAGCCGGCCUGAGAGGGCACACGGCCACACUGGCACUGAAACACGGGCCAGACUCCUACGGGAGGCAGCAGUGGGGAAUCUUGCACAAUGGGGGAAACCCUGAUGCAGCGACGCCGCGUGAGCGAUGAAGCCCUUCGGGGUGUAAAGCUCUUUCGGCAGGGAAGAUAAUGACGGUACCUGCAGAAGCAGCUGCGGCUAACUACGUGCCAGCAGCCGCGGUAAUACGUAGGCAGCAAGCGUUGUUCGGAGUUACUGGGCGUAAAGGGUGUGUAGGUGGCGCGCUAAGUUCCGUGUGAAAUCUCCCGGCUCAACCGGGAGGGUGCGCGGAAAACUGGCGGGCUAGAGUACGGGAUGGGAGAGUAGAAUUCCUGGUGUAGCGGUGAAAUGCGUAGAUAUCAGGAGGAAUACCGGUGGUGUAGACGGCUCUCUGGACCGUAACUGACACUGAAACACGAAAGCGUGGGUAGCAAACAGGAUUAGAUACCCUGGUAGUCCACGCCCUAAACGAUGCAUAUUUGGUGUAGGUCAUUCAGUUGAUCUGUGCCGGAGCUAACGCGUUAAAUAUGCCGCCUGGGGAGUACAGUCGCAAGGCUGAAACUCAAAGGAAUUGACGGGGCCCGCACAAGCGGUGGAGCAUGUGGUUCAAUUCGACGCAACGCGAAGAACCUUACCUGGGCUCGAACGGCUAGUU
rnacentral:rRNA from 1 species